rnacentral:lncRNA from 1 species
GCAAGAGUGGGGAAGAGGGCCAGAGGGAGGGAGAGAAUCUUAAGCAGGCUCCACAUUCAGCAUGAAGCUGGAUGGGGGCUUGAUCCCAUGACCCUGGGAUUAUGACCUAAAUCUAAAUCAAGAGUUCAAUGGACUGAGCCACUCCUGUGCCCCUCUUUUACAUGGUUAUUCAAGCAUAUAAUAAAAAUAAUUUGCUGCCUAUUAAGAAACAGCGAAUUCAAAUCAGGAAGAUUUGGGUAGUUCUUAUAGCCAUCAUGGGCCACACUCCAUUUUAUAUCAGUCACUAACAAUGCCUGCUUGUGGGACAACUGGAGGCACGGGGGUGAUAAGCAGUGCUAGCUGCCUUACUGAGAUCAAUUCCCUGGGGCUGGACGCUGUGCUCUAACCAUCUGCUCCUUCAAAUACCAUCUACCUUUGUCAUCCUCCAGCAUGAGGACAACCCCUACUUCCCUCAGAAGCACUUUUAGGGUAUUCUGUCUGCACAGCUACCUUGCCCACGUGGAGUCUGGAAAAUUCCAUCACCUAGAGGUGUGUCACCCACUGAAAAGAGUUUGGGAAUGCUCCAGUAAGCACAAUCUGUGAAGACAUAAAGGCAUGUGUUUACUCUUCAUCUAGAAUGGACUCUUGAGGGUUGGGGGGUGGGGCUUUGGCUUUGUAUUUUCUUAUAGCUACGUAACAUGUGAUCUGUUUUACUUGCCCAGUAAGUUUGUUGUCAUUACUUAAUAAAUAUUUAAUGACAGCAGUGAAUAAAAACUAAGAAGCUAGGCUAGGUAUUUCAGUGGUCAGGUGGACGAAUUCUGUUAGAACAAACUUUUCCACCUUCCUUUCCAAACUUGCGUUUGUUUUGUACUUCAGCCUUAGGUCCUAAAUUGGAGCCAGAAACUGUGGGUCAAAGGAGGAAACAACCACUGAAAAUAAACAAGGCAAGAGAUGGAAGUUUACCAGGCUGCUGCACAAAAUUCACUCUCCAGCCCUACUUUGGAGCAAUGAGGAACCCCAGCGUCUUGAUCUGUCGUUUUGGAGCUGCUUCAUGUGGAAGAUGGAUAGGACCAGUUUCAGCAAACCUAGUAUCUGUCCAUUGA